rnacentral:rRNA from 1 species
UACGUAGGGUGCAAGCGUUAAUCGGAAUUACUGGGCGUAAAGCGUGCGCAGGCGGCUUUGCAAGACAGAUGUGAAAUCCCCGGGCUUAACCUGGGAACUGCAUUUGUGACUGCAUGGCUGGAGUGCGGCAGAGGGGAUGGAAUUCCGGCGUGUAGCGGUGAAAUGCGCAGAUAUCAGGAGGAACACCAAUGGCGAAGGCAGCUCGCUGGAACGGUACUGACGCUGAGGCGCGAAAGCGUGGGGAGCGAACAGG